UACGGGGGGGGCAAGCGUUGUUCGGAAUUACUGGGCGUAAAGGGCUCGUAGGCGGCCAACUAAGUCAGACGUGAAAUCCCUCGGCUUAACCGGGGAACUGCGUCUGAUACUGGAUGGCUAGAGUUUGGGAGAGGGAUGCGGAAUUCCAGGUGUAGAGGUGAAAUGCGUAGAUAUCUGGAGGAACACCGGUGGCGAAGGCGACCAACUGGACUGAUACUGACGCUGAGGUGCGAAAGCGUGGGGAGCAAACAGG
rnacentral:rRNA from 1 species